rnacentral:rRNA from 1 species
UACGUAGGGUGCAAGCGUUACUCGGAAUUACUGGGCGUAAAGCGUGCGCAGGCGGUUGUGCAAGUCAGAUGUGAAAUCCCCGGGCUCAACCUGGGAACUGCAUUUGUGACUGCACGGCUGGAGUGCGGCAGAGGGGGAUGGAAUUCCGCGUGUAGCAGUGAAAUGCGUAGAUAUGCGGAGGAACACCGAUGGCGAAGGCAAUCCCCUGGGCCUGCACUGACGCUCAUGCACGAAAGCGUGGGGAGCAAACAGG